rnacentral:lncRNA from 1 species
ACAAAAUGAACCUCUGUCUACAAAGCCUCUAAGAUUAUUUGACAUCAAAUGGGAUAGGGUACCGGCGUACCCAUAAGUCUGUAGAAAAACUCUGACUCAUAGACUCGGCUGCACUCCGACUGAGGUGGAGUCUUACUGAUCCUUCGCUGAAUGCCAAUUUCGUCUACUAUGAGGGCUCGUCAAACUGAUUCUACCCGUCUAUCAGGACCUGCAGCAUGACAUGCAGCGUCCACCAAUAAAACGGACGUCAGUACGAAUAAUGUACUAAGUAUGUAAGGCAGGAAAGCAUAAGUAAGAAUAGUAAUGUAAACAGGGAUAGAGAAUAUACAACCUGUGACAUCUGGGUACCUCUGAGGGCUACUGACAUGAAAUACAUGAUACAUACAUAUAUAUACAUAAACCUUUAAAACAUACGCCUUUACGGGCAUCACCAUCAUCAUAUCGUACCUAGCCGUAAUAGGCUCGGUAAAGCAUACCCGGCCAUCAUACGGCUCGGUAGAAUCGUACCCAGCCACGUGGAGCUCGGUAAAAUCCAACUGAUCAGUGGUUGCACAAUAGGUGUCGUACCUGGCCGACUAUAGCGCGGCUCGGUAGAGUAAAAUAGAUACAUAUAUAUGAUGCAUGCUGGACUCAUUGGAAUCACAUUUUGAACCUUUCGGAGUGACGUAAGGUCGGUAUGUUUCGUACACGUUAUUAGGAUUAACUCUUCAUCAAGAAUCUUAUAAGAAUCAGAAACUACCAACAAUAUUUAUAAUAUAAGAAUAAAAGAAGUAACAUCAAUAUCAAUCAUUUCAUAAGAAGGGCAGCAAUGUAAGUACUGCUAGCUUCUAAGAGUAGAGUAUCUUUGGGAGCUCGUUCAUUAUAUUAUGUACAAUCGGAGUCGUGCAAAAGAAUGAAGGGGAUAUACUCACAUACCUGAGCCGAUUCUCUAGACAAUCCCGCAAACACACGACGAUUGCGACAAAACAUGUGACAGCAAGAAUAACGACAAAGGAAGGCGACCCAAAAAACUUUCCCACCAUCAUUGAACAAAGCUAUGCAGACACAUCGAACAUGGUAGGAAAAGAUUACAUGUCUAACACUUCAUAUUGCUACUUCAGAACAACUCAAAAAUUAACCAGUUUGAUUAUAACACAAGAACCCACAGAAUAACCAGGAAUUUCUACACAUUCAUUUUGUUGAAAAAAGAACUUCCAUACUUCUUAGACCUUUUCUAUUAGUAAUCUCAGCCUCCAAUAUCUUUCUUCGCUUAAUGGACUAUAACAAACAAUGUAGAGAUGUAAUUAUACGAGGGGUAAAAACAACAUAUAGAGAUGUCAAUUUCAGUAGAGUAAACUAUGGCAAGAUUUGAAUUUACUGGGAUAACAGAUGCCAACU